rnacentral:rRNA from 1 species
CGUAAGCGAGCGCAGGCGGUUUCUUAAGUCUGAUGUGAAAGCCCCCGGCUCAACCGGGGAGGGUCAUUGGAAACUGGGAGACUUGAGUGCAGAAGAGGAGAGUGGAAUUCCAUGUGUAGCGGUGAAAUGCGUAGAUAUAUGGAGGAACACCAGUGGCGAAGGCGGCUCUCUGGUCUGUAACUGACGCUGAGGCUCGAAAGCGUGGGGAGCAAACAGGAUUAGAUACCCCCGUAGUC